rnacentral:lncRNA from 1 species
AUAUAUAUGUAUGACACUUGUAACACUUUGAUUUCAAACAAAUGUAAUAAUUCUAUGUAAUGUAAUGCUUUGUGUUUACUAUGCUUACUAUGUACAUUGGAUUUGAUAUUCAACGUGCAGUCCGCCCCGGAAACGUUUCCGCCUUGGUUUCGGGGUGUGACAUAAAGGUAGUAGAAAAUGGAUAUCUUAUGAGAGAGUUAUGAUUUUUAUACGGACUUUAGAAAUCUAAGCCUAUAAAAAUAUAAAUUUAAAAAUAAAGUCAGAAUUAGCCGACAGAGUCUAAAUAAAAGUUCUAGAUCUCGACGAUGGCUACGUAUAGAUAUAAAGAACAGAGAAAUGGAGCUCGUGUGUAGCAAUUACAGAAAUGUGUGUUAUGAGCGCGGCGUGCGCUUCUAGAAGGUGGCAACACGGAGCACAAAGAAGGUGACAUGUGGCACAAAACGAAUGGGGAGACGUCACCUUAAGCGCGCGACACGCAUGACCAAAAUUUGUCUAUAAAUAUCAUUUCACCCCUCAUUCACUUCUCCACACCCUCCAUACACUCACUCGAAUUUCCACUCUUUCUGUCUGAAAAUUUGUAAUACCUAGAAUAUUUUAGCGAAGCUUUGGAGUCUUUGAAUGCCCGACAGUUAAAAGUAAUCAUGUCAAAUUAUGUCGGCGAUUUUCCACACUUUUGUCAAAAAGUCUAUGUAACUUAAGCUACACUUGUUAGGGAAAACAGACGAUACUGGUCAAGACUCAAAACAAAUUUGAUGUCACUUGCCAAGUUCUGGGUGGCCCUUGUUAGGAAGAGAUGUGAAUAACAAGCAAAACUAUAAGCAUAGAAAGACAUAGUAUUUACGUGGUUCGGUCAAGGCGACCUACGUCCACGAGUAGGAGGGGAGUAUUCUUUAUUUCAGAGUUCUCAAAUAGAGGUUACAAGUACAAUUCACCAAAGAUUCACCUAUCACUCUAGAAUUCAAGAUACAAGACACUAGACAAAUGACUCUACAUGCAUCCUAAUUUAUACUUGAAGGAUCAAACCUAAAACCCUAAUGGGUCAAGCUCAUUUGCCCAUAAGCCCAUGACAGGUGUCAACCAAUCACAAGCCGCCAUGCAGCAUCCUCUGGAACACCUUGUGCUAUAGUGGAGCAUCAUGAUGUACAAGUGGCUCAUCAUGAACUCUAAUGGGCCAACAUCCAUCAUGGUGGCACAACAUGGUGUAAUUCUUGAGCAAUACCAACUUCUGAGCAUCCUUGAACGAUUUUGAGCAUUAUAGAGGACUUCAUACAUACUUGGCUCAUCAAGGACCAAGAUGGUCCAUCUUGCUCCAUCAUGGUGCAACAAGAAUAUAGAUUACGCAAGUGGCUUCAAUUCUGGCACAAGCACAUCAAGAUUUGAGAAACAACACCACCAUGGCGCAAUAGGAACAUGCAUGGCGCAACAAGGACAUGCAUAGCGCAAGAGUAUACCUCAUGGCACAAGAGGAAUCCUCAUGGCGCAAGAGGGAGCAUAAUGGUGCAAGAAGGAAUACCAUGGCACAACAUCCCUGAUUGCCUCAAACCACCAAAGAAGUAACAAGUUUGGACUGAUCACAAUAGAACGACCACAAGACUUUCUCAAAGUAGUGAGAAAUGUAUAACCAUCCUGCUCUUUUAUCACUCCGAUAUGUCAUCUUCUUUUAAGAUCCUAAAUCGUUCAUUACAAGCUCAUUCUCCAAAUUCUUCUUCAAGGCGGUGUUUGUUUUUUUUCCGCAGAUCUUCUUGGCCUCUUCUAUCUGCGCGGCGCAGAUCACACACAUACAUUAGUCUUCAAAGGCUGUUUUUUUUUUAAGACUGUAGACCUAAAAAUGUAUGUGCGCCCUCUUUUAGUGCAGAUGUGGACCAGUCUUCUAACAUCUUCAGACAUCUUCUAGUCUAAAAAAACACAUAUAAAUAAAAAUUUAUUACAAUAAUGGUCGUUGAAGUUGUUUAUAAAAAUAUGAAAAAAAUAAAAUAAAAUAAUAUAUGCUUAUAUUUUUUAUGCCAAAUUUUAUAAAACAUUAUUUAAUACAAUAUCGUCAACUUCUUUGAAAAAUAUUUAUGACUAGUUUUUAAUUGAUUUAAAUCAAAAAAUCAAAGUUUAUUUCCAUCCACUUAUGUAUCAAAAUCUUUGAUUUCUAACUACAAUGUUUAGGUAUAACUUUGCGACCAAAAUUAUUAGUUUUUAUUAAAUAUAUACGUUAAUUUAUACCAUUUUUAUUUUCACUUUUUAUACAAUAAUACAUAAAAGUUGAUUUAGAUUUGUUAAUUAUUUAUUACAAAGUCAUAAAUAUAUUAAAAAAUCACUUUGUAGUUUAAAAAAUUAAUUUAUUUAGAUUUUAGUUUAUUUUAGUAGUCUGCAGAUGUUAAAAAAACAGUCUUCUUUUUUCAAACUGUAAAAGUUUGGUCUACCUCUUCUGCUGCAGAGGUCCACAGAUGUGGUCCACAGACUGCAAACAUUUUGUAUCAUAAAAAACAAACAACACCUAAGUUGUCUUUCUUGGCAUCAUCACCAGACACUUUUUCCCUGGGUUGAAAGGAAAAAAGCAACAAGCAAACAACAUUCGAGCAGAAAAACUCUAUAGGCAUAUGGCAUCAAAUUUCAGGCAAUUUUAUUAUGUAAUUCCUGAAGAUCUCUAUCCUACUACAAGCAUGCAAUUCAAUCAUAAGAAAAUAACAAUGACUUGGGGGUAUACAUUCUUGCUCUGGCUGAUCAUACACAUCCCGUCUUUCCUUGGUUACUUUUGAAAACCAUUUGAAAACAAAUUGAAAACUUUAGCAGAUCCUUAGUUUGAGUCUAGAUUCACACAAAUGUUCAUCCAAUUAUCACAAAUAGGGCUCUGAUAUCAACUUGUAACAUGCCAAAAUCACGAUAAAAAUUUUCAUUUUAAAAUCAAAAGAAAUCAUUGUUUUCAAACAAACCCAUAACAAAAUCAAGUAUAAAGUACAUAUAUCCCUAGAUCAGUGUACCAUAAAUCUCCAAGAACAUGUCAUAGAAGGAUGUGUAUGAUCAGACAUUCGUCUUGUAACGAUCAGCUGAAGUACUUGAAACAUGAAUUUGAAAACUAUAAGCCAGAGCUUAGUGAGUUCCCCCAAAGUCCAACCACACAAAAAUAUAGCAACAUGCGUACUAGGUCCACAACUAACAAACUGGAUUACCCGUGAGUCCACAACAUGAGUCUGGCUUACCUUCCGGCCCAUAGCUCAUGUAUGGCUUACUCCUAAGCACAUAGCCUAUGUUUUGCUUGUUUCCCGAUUUGUUGGCUUCUGCACAUAGCAAUAUUGCCUCAACCCAACCAAACUAUGUCGACAUAUACAUGUUAGAUAGCAUAUAUCCAGUAAACAGAUAAUCAUAUAACCACUCAACAAACUAACAGACAGAUCUACAGAUCAUUGUCACAUAACAAUAUCCUGUAUACCAGGCCUCGGUUCUAACAAAUCAAUACAACAUAGUAACAUCAUCAAAACCUGGAUAGAUAACCCAGUGGGUCCACAUUGGUGCCUUCGACCCAUUAGUACAGUGAGGAAAACUCACCUCUCAGUCUGGAAAGUUAGUUAGGCAGGACACUACUCCGAAUAUCAACUCUACAAGUCACAUAUACAUCAAAUAGUGAUAAAUCUCAACUACAACUCAAAAUACCCUUUGGUCAAAACUUCCAGACCCAGCGUACUUAGCUUGUACGCACGACGUACUAUAGGCUUGACCAAAAAGCAAGUUAUUAACCUCAUACGUGCAGUGUAUGCCCAACGUACGUGCCAACCAACUUCUCCUUCUAUUAAGAGCUUAAUCCCUUAAGGGCUUUUGUCCAAGAUCUAGAUCUAGUCCCAAAAACGUAUACUUUAUGACUUUGCAUAGCUAAGAAAUGCUCAAUACUAAAAACCCUAACUUCUUAACUCAUUAAGACAUUAUAACCCAUACAUGGAAGAAAACUAAUGACCAAAUUGCAUUUUUAUGGUCUUAGACACUCCACAACAUCUGGAAUGACAAUCCAUUUGGGUUUAGAGCAUGUCAUACUCAAGAACAUCAUUGAUUGGGGAGAAAAGCAGAUAAGCAUCAAGAUAUAAGCUUUAUACCUUCCAAGAUAUUCUCAUUUCCUUCUCCUUUCUCUAUGACCAUCAAAACACACACUAAUGGGUCAAGGAUGCUCAAAAAAAAUGGAUUAGGGUUAGCUAGGGUCGAAUAUGGAGGUGGAGAUGAAGAAUGAAGAGGUUUCAAAGAGAUAAGGAUGUUUAAAUAGGGUUCAAACCCUAAAAAUUAAGGUUUGACCCUUAAACACGUACGCCCAACGUACGCAACAUGCACCCAACAUACGCAUGCAACCUCUAUUUUUCAUUAAAAUGCCAUUUGGGACCAAAUUCGCAAUCAAUUCUCAUAUCAAGUGUCCAAAGGGAAAAAGAAAAAGACCAAGUUGUUUUUACAUAGGACUCGAGGAGUCGAUUUCUAGAAUUCUAGUCUUCUACCAAGAAUCAUGAUGUCAUUUCAUUUAUAUUUCAUCAAUCAAUCACCAAUUUCAUUUAUAAAUCAAUAGUCAAUUAUUAGCCGAAAGAAAGUUUGCAAUUUUUAUUUUGUAUCUAUGUAAUGAUGGUCAAAUAUCAAUUGGAACUUACUACAAUGGUGAUUUUAAUUCCAAUCGAAAGUCCUUGAGUAUGUAAUACAUUUUCUAAAUUAACAUUUGUUUUAUUUAAGAAAUGUUAAUUUAAGAAUUAAGUAUAAUGUGUUUAACUAUUUAAAAAACAUGCGGGUUACGAAAAAGGGUUAGGAUUGGAUUUUGAAAUUUGUUAACAUUGGAUCACGAUUGAUUCGCUCCAAACUCUCCCCAUUGCCAUGUCUACCUAUAUGUGUCAUGUAUUUUACAUUAUAUCUCUUGAAAUUACGACUAAAUCUAGCUCAUACUUUUUCUAUGAAGAACUCCCUCCGUCCCAAAAUUAUUGUCCACCGACAAAAAAACACAAUUAAGAAAACAUUAAUUACCCCUCACUUUAUUAAAUGAAAUGACAAUUAUACUUUUAGUUUCAUUUAAUUCCAGGAUAGAUUAACUAAUAAUGAGGGUAUUUUGGUAAAAGGGAUAUUUAUUUUUAGAAGUAACCUAUUAUUUUAGGCAAACCAAAAUGGAAACAUGAACUAUUGAUAUGAGACGGAAGGAGUAUUUCACAUCAAAAUAGAAGAAUCCUACUUCUUGUAUAAUUAUUCUAGUUAUAACACCCAAGGCUUACAUAAUCCUCGACUUACCAAUAAUCUUAAGUUUAUGAUCCAUUCGUACCCUUCAAAUCCUCAAUCCUUGACUAAUCCUUGACUUCCUGCUAAGAUCACUUUAUGAUUUAUUCAUAGACUUAACAUUCUAAUAUCCUUCUUUUCCUUAAUGUAUAUAUCAUAUGUCUAUAAUUCAUCAUAUUACUAGAUCAUUACGAGAUAAAGUCUAAAAUUAACACCUAUUAUCCAUUUUGCACCUCAUCAUGCUAACCAUGUUGAUUAGGUCCUCAAAGCACAUAUACAUAUAUGAUGCUUGAAUAAUCAAAUGGUACUUAUUAUUACAAAGAUCCAA